rnacentral:rRNA from 1 species
UUUGAUCUGGCUCAGAACGAACGCUGGCGGCAGGCUUAACACAUGCAAGUCGAGCGCUCUCUUCGGAGGGAGCGGCGGACGGGUGAGUAACGCGUGGGAACAUACCCGACACUAAGGAAUAGCCUCUGGAAACGGAGAGUAAUACCUUAUACGCCCUACGGGGGAAAGAUUUAUCGGUGACGGAUUGGCCCGCGUUAGAUUAGGUAGUUGGUGGGGUAACGGCCCACCAAGCCGACGAUCUAUAGCUGGUUUGAGAGGAUGAUCAGCCACACUGGGACUGAGACACGGCCCAGACUCCUACGGGAGGCAGCAGUGGGGAAUCUUAGACAAUGGGGGAAACCCUGAUCUAGCCAUGCCGCGUGUGUGAUGAAGGCCCUAGGGUCGUAAAGCACUUUCGCCAGGGAUGAUAAUGACAGUACCUGGUAAAGAAACCCCGGCUAACUCCGUGCCAGCAGCCGCGGUAAUACGGAGGGGGUUAGCGUUGUUCGGAAUUACUGGGCGUAAAGCGCGCGUAGGCGGAUUAGUCAGUCAGAGGUGAAAUCCCAGGGCUCAACCCUGGAACUGCCUUUGAUACUGCUAGUCUUGAGUUCGAGAGAGGUGAGUGGAAUUCCGAGUGUAGAGGUGAAAUUCGUAGAUAUUCGGAGGAACACCAGUGGCGAAGGCGGCUCACUGGCUCGAUACUGACGCUGAGGUGCGAAAGUGUGGGGAGCAAACAGGAUUAGAUACCCUGGUAGUCCACACCGUAAACGAUGAAUGCCAGUCGUCGGCAAGCAUGCUUGUCGGUGACACACCUAACGGAUUAAGCAUUCCGCCUGGGGAGUACGGUCGCAAGAUUAAAACUCAAAUGAAUUGACGG